rnacentral:piRNA from 1 species
UGAUUUAUGAGUCUGUGAUACUCCAAGCCUU